rnacentral:lncRNA from 1 species
UUGGAAUUAACUGCAUUGCACUCAGUUGUUUGCUAUAGCCAAGCUGUGGUGUUGUGUGCUAGAUUUUGAUACAAAAGUAUUACAUAGCUUUACUUCUAAUGCAGAUGGUGAAUCUUAGAAAUAUACUGUCCUGCCUAUUGCAUUAUGCUGUCAGCUCUUGGACGUCAUUGUCUGGUCCAUAAAGCCCUGGGACCGCCUAGAAGAACUGGCAGCUGAACUAUGAGUUAUGUUCAGGAUGAAGAUGAUGCUUGGACUGUAACUUCCAGAAUUUGUCAUUGAAGCAAACAGUUUCAGAAGAUGCAUAAGGAGAACACACAGAACAAUGGUGCGAGCUUUCCAGUCAGAAUUGGAAAGCAAAACAGGGAUUAAUUCUCAGCAACAAAAACGUAAAGAAGUGGAGUGGAACCCUGAGGAGCAGAAGCAGAAUAUUGGAGAACAGUGGCUCUUCUGUAUUCAAUCAGAGGUCCAAAUCCAGUGA